AAACAGAUAAACAUAAACAACAGCUUGGAAAUGGGUAUCUCACACAAUACAAAUUUGGUUACUUCAUGGUCCCAGAACUAAAAUUUGGGAGUUUAAUAUGAAAAUUUGUUUUUAUUUUUACUUAAUUAGUUCUGAUUAGAGUUUAAAAAUUUUCGGUACUACUAAGCUAAAUCUCAUCGAUAAAAAGGUUCACUUUCUACCCAAGGAGCUUCCAUCAGUCGCAAAAAAAAAAGAGGUGGAGUUAGUCCUCAGUCUUAAUCAGAAGGGAAUCUGGUCAGAUUUUUCUUGGCAGUGACUUGUCUUUUUCUUCCGAAGGCAAGAGAUGAGACAAAACUAUGUCUGCUCUAUCCACUCGUCAUUGUCUUAAUUUAGACUUAGCAUUGCUUAAUACGGAGGAGUUGAACUACAAAAAUCAGUGAUGGCUGUUUGCAACCAGGAGGCUAAUUUUUCCUGUGAUGCUGUAGGAAGAGGUUCAUUCUCCUUCCUAGCAGUACUCUGCGGUCAAUAAGCUUUACAAAGGUCGCUUAAGUCAGAAAAGGCAAUGUCUGAACGACGGCCCUGGGCUGAAUGCGACAAUGAGUAACACACAUAAUAGUCUUUUUUGGCAGUUAAAAAAAAAAGAGCAUUUCUAAAGUUUCAGCAGUAGCACAUAUAUUGGCAAGAGUGCAGAAGCACUAUCCUUUGUAUUUUUUGGUUAAUAUAGUGGAAUCAGUAGUACAUCUUAUAUCCUGCUAUGAGCUACCAAUAAUGAAAGAUCAACUGUUAUUAAUUUACUAAAUUUUUUGUCUUCACAUUGUUUUUAAUGAGAAUAUGCUUUUAGAAUCCUUAGUUCUGCAUAUGUGCACAGAUGUUAGCUAGGUUCCCAUAAAAGAUUACUUAUGUGAGUAAACUUUUAUAACGGGCAUAUAAUAGGUACCUGCACCCUACAUGCUAUACAGCACACAGUAGACAUUAACAAUUGAAACUGACAGCACACAGUAGACAUUAACAAUUGAAACUGUGUGCUUUCUCCUCAUAUAAAUAGAGAGAUUUGUGUAAGCUUGGAACUACCAAAUAUAGCACUAGUCAGCUUUCACUUAUUUAGUCAUCUCCAAAUUCUUCUACUGCCAUGGCUCCAGUACCCACUUCUCCAAUCAAGGUUGGUCAUAUAGAUGAUGUUCAGGAACUGAGAAAGGCUAAGCCAACAACAAUCCCUGAAAGAUUUGUCAGGGACAUGACUGAAAGGCCAACACUAGCCAUAACUCUACCUUCUCUGAGUGAAAUACCUUCCAUUAAUUUCUCAAGCCUUGUGAAUGGCAAUAAAGAUGAUUGCCAAAAUGAAAUCUUGCAGCUUGCCAGAGCCUGUGAGGACUGGGGAUUUUUUCAGGUGAUUAAUCAUGGAAUUGAUCUGAGUUUGCUUGAGAGCAUAGAGGAGUUGGCCAAGAAUUUUUUCAUGUUGCCUUUAGAGGAAAAGCAGAAGUAUCCAAUGGCACCAGGAACUGUUCAGGGUUAUGGACAAGCUUUUGUGUUCUCUGAGGACCAAAAGCUGGACUGGUGCAACAUGUUUGCUCUUGGGAUUGAGCCCCACUAUAUAAGGAACCCAAAACUAUGGCCAAUACAGCCACCAAAGUUCUGUGAAACAGUAGAGGUUUAUUCAAGAGAAGUCAGGAAGUUGUGCCAGAAUCUAUUGAAGUACAUAGCUAUAACCCUUGGCUUGAAAGCAGAUAUUUUUGAAGAAAUGUUUGGGGUAGCUGUGCAAGCCAUAAGGAUGAACUACUAUCCACCUUGUUCUAGACCUGACCUUGUUUUAGGCCUAAGCCCACAUUCAGAUGGCAGUGCCCUAACCGUGCUGCAGCAAGGAAAGGGUAGCUCAGUAGGACUCCAAAUAUUUAAAGAUAACAAGUGGGUGCCUGUUCAGCCCAUUCCAAAUGCAUUAGUAAUCAACAUUGGUGACACUUUAGAAGUUCUGACAAAUGGAAAAUACAAGAGUGUUGAACACAGGGCAGUGACUCAUAAGGAAAAAGACCGUCUCUCUAUUGUCAACUUCUAUGCCCCAAGCUAUGAAAUAGAGCUUGGACCCAUGCCAGAACUCGUGGAUGAGAACAACCCAUGCAAGUAUAGGAGAUACACUCAUGGAGAAUACAACAAACACUACGUAACUAAUAAGUUACAAGGGAAGAAAACCCUGGAAUUCGCCAAGAUUAAAAGCAAGACAUCUACAGAAUAGUUACUAAAAUUUGUUUAUACUGGAGCUAAUGUUUCACUUCAUGUCAUCUGUGUAGAGUAUAAGUCCAAAUUACAAGUUGGGUGUUAUAUAUAUGUCAAAAUGAGUGGGAAUCAAUGAUGGUCUGCACUAUUCGUGUGUUAACUCAUAUUUGUAAUAGACUAGCAAUUAGUUGAAGCCUGUGGGGUCUUGUGCUCAUAAGCAUUUCUUGUCAAAUGUGUUUGGUUGUGAGGACUUUUUGAAUAAGCAUCUAUAAAUAUAGAAGAAAACAAGAAUCAAAACAGGAGUAUAUGCCACUUUUACUGUUUCUUUUGUAUCAGAUUCUUAAUAGGGAAAGAAACUGGCAAUCAUGUGGGGUACCCAUAACACCACCACCCAAUGUUUAUGAAAGAAUGAAAUGGAAAAUGGACAAAAUCACUGGUCUUCCAUUGUUCAAGCGAAAAGAGAGCUUUUUCUCAGUGGUAGGAGAGAGGAGAGCCCACAUAUUGUAAGUUGUUCAUAUUAUUAGAGUGAAGGAAGCACUAGGCAAAGAACUUGCGAUUGUUUUUU
rnacentral:misc_RNA from 1 species